CCUUUCUUUUCCCUUCCUCAAUAUAAAUACCCUGGGGCAGUUUCUUUUCUUUUUGGUAUGAAUGUGAUGAUCUUUCAGGCCUGCGAUUGGCUCUGCGGCUUGUCAUCGGGGACACACCUCCUGGCGAGGGGCCACCGCCUCCCCCCUCUUGUGAAAGCUUCCCCUUGUAACAAGUGAGCGUAAUUACAUCAGUUACUCACUAGAGCACAGACCUGCUUUAAAUUUUGGCCUCUCUGAGCCUGUGAGAAGCUGAAGGACUAGAAAAUGCAGUUUCAAAGGCCUGUAACACUCUGGAGCGUGCAACUCAAGCUGGGCUUUUCCCUCCCAGGAAUGAAGACUCCCAGUCACAUGUGAGGAGGAAUGAAUAUCCCUACCAGCCACUGAAAUGGCUAAGAGAGCAGACCUGCCGCACCAGAAGAGGAUUUCCACUUUGCCAAAGCCUGGCCCACUGAAAAAAAAUGCGUAUCUGAUCCCCUUUGCUUCUAGAGGUCCUGAUCUUCAGCUGGCAGAACACAGCUUCAUCCCAUUGAAAAGCCAGUGAAGCAGAUAGGAAGAUCUUACCCCAACACAAUUCUGCUUCCUGAUGACAUGCUUGUUUCCACCCGGCAAGACAAUAAACCAAGCACUAGCAAUGGAAGAGUAGCAGACUGGCACAAAGAUCCUCCAUUCACCUCUCCUGUAGCAUUUACUAUAAACAGAGGCCAGAGCAGGGAGGUUCUUUCUCCUGUAACACAACAGUAUGGAAAGACUUCCCCCGUGACUGUAACAUGAAAAACAGAUGAAGGAGGGAGCUGCUGGGGGAGCUUAUAAUUCCCAGCUGGAAAUGCAGUCUCUUGGAUAGUGCCUUGUGAUGCUGAAAGCACCCCCAGUCUCUUAACGGCAGCUUAAAGAAGUCUGAUCACUGGGCAGCAAGGUAAGGCCCAAACUAUUCUCAGCAUCCAACUCAGACAACAUAAGGUAUCAACUACAGACUUUAAAUCCAUUUUUAAAUUUUAUUUUUUUUCUCUUUUGAAAGAAAAUGAAAAUUAAACGUGAAGCAAUGGCAAUCUGUAUCGGGGAAUGAAUUUCAGUAUAUUUGAUAAAAAGCUUCUUUUUGUUUUGUUUAAAGUAUCAAAUAACACGUGCUUCCUACCAAAGCAUUUCAGAAAGUUGAACCAAAACACUGCCUUAGCAUCUGGAACUAAAGCUUGCUCUGCGAAGUUGAAGCUAAACCUCCCUGGACUCAGAGCUCCUUCCCCAUCAGUCUGCCAGGAGUCUGGAGAAAGUCUUCAGUGAUCCAGAUUGGUGACUGUGUUUGGAUACUCCGUGACAAAGAGGUGGAGAUCUACAUGGGGCUGUACAAACCCUCUGGAAAUUGUUUGCAGCCUAGAAAAAAAGAUGAUCUGUAAUCUCUACAAGUGCGACCUUACAUUGAUUGCAAGAGAUGGGAAGAAACUCUCGUGGUUACUCUGGUGUUGCAUUGUGAUGUCUCCUUUUUCCUUCAAGAAGCUAAAGCCUGAAGAACUUGAUCACCUGAUACACUGGUGUCAGAGCCCAGCUCUCAGCCUGAGGUCCAAAGCCGCAUUUCCUGACUGACAUCGUGCACUACAUGGGCACUGCAAUGCUGCCAUUGUACCAGCUCUCAUUUUCACUUAAAGUACAAAUCAGUUGGAGCAAACCUACCCAUCUCUGUCUGAAGCAGAGCCAAGUCACAACUGAGCACCAUGUAUGAAAUACUAACUGGAGCUUUGGAAACUGAGCUGCUGUAUUUAUUCAGCCUGAGGUGAAUUCUGUCCCCAAACAACUGCAAAGGAGAAUGAACUUAUUCCAGUAAGAUCAGUUUUACCAUUUCAUCCCUCGCAAGCUUAGUUCAUAGGUCCUGUUUGUUAGCUGCACCUGAACUGCAUACAGAGGAUUUUUGCUGGGGGAUCUCUCUCAGAGGUGAAACGGUGCCUGUCCCAUUGAAUUUACAGAGAGGCUGUUUUUCUCACACAGGUUGGUAGUGGAGUUUUUGGUAAGCAGACUUUUGUUAAGCAGAGUUUUGUUUAUAAUUUCCUAUGUCAAGCGUGCUUCCAUUAAUAAGUACUCAAACUAGGAUGAGAUGUGAGUCUGAAGUGGAGGAGAACAAUCUGUUGUGGGAUGUGAGGGGGGAGCAUGGGGGAAGAGUAGGGAAGGGAAGAAAGGUUUGGGCAGAGAGGAGGUAUGGCAAUGAGGGACUGUUGGGAUGGGGAGAGAAGAGGUAACACCCAAGAGCGGUACAGUAUGUCAAAUAAAGCAUCAAGAUCACAUGUGCUGGAAGUGUUUCUCUUCCAGAAAAGAGGGCUUGUGCUGUUGGCUGCAUGCAACUGUGAUCUGCACGUGGCCAGCUCCAAAUCUACCAGUGGUUUCUCUUGAACUGGAACCAUCCAAAGGGAGCUUGCCAAAACCAUUUUUGUGGACACUCAGCAGAGAUGCUGGUUGAACUCACAUGAGAGAACUGGCCUGGCUCGGCUCCAGUCACACCCUUUUCAUGCUCACUGCUCUCGGAGUGACCAAACUAUUGUUUGCAGGACCUGAACUGCAAAGCUGCAUGCAUGCAACUGAAUCAAAGUCCCUCUGGGAGUGGGAGAUUGCCACUGAGCAUGUGCGUGUUUAUGGUCCUGCUGACGGAGCUGUAGCUGCCAUUUGUCUGGCUCAUUGCACUACAGAAGUGUGGGAUGCUGCUAGCAGUGUUGGAGGAUAGUUUUAAAUUCAGUUUGUCUUACAACAUCAGAUCUAUCACCUGGAGGAUAUGAAUCCUUCUGUGCCAGUGCCUGUCAUGCACAUUUCUACACUUAUUAUCCUGCUCUUUCAAGCGUUUUAUAUUCCCAUACAUCACAGUUAGGUCAGAACCAUAAAUAUUCACAGAUCGUGUGGCCAGAUGCUGCCCAUUCUGGUCAUAGCAGAUGUCUGAUUCAGUCUCAUGGCUCUAUAGCUCUGUAGGCCACUCAAAGUCCAAAAGUGGUUAUUACCGGUUCCACCAGAGAAAUUCUGCAAGAUACUCUGCAGUGGUUGGUUCUAGACUAACCAAGCUGGAGGGCAAAUUCCUUCUCAGCCUGACAGCCUUGAGAAUGGUUUAUCAGAAUCAAGAAUGCACAUAUUUCUGUUGGAAGUCUGACGUGUUUUAAAUAGUUCCUAUUCCAACAGAACAUUUGGAGAGCAUUAUAAGUGCUACCUUCCUCUCAAAAAAAUCUUGCUUAGCUCUUGUGCCCCACAGCACCCUGAGGCAGUGAGUUCCAGCUAAUCUGAUGGCAGUAAGGUCACAUGCAGAGUUCUGAGGUGUCCUCCUGCUGUUGGACUGUAGAAUUCGGAGUUGAGGAUAUCUUUUUUUUUUUCUUUUCUCUAGCUUGUUAAACAUUUCCAUGACAGCUCUUUCCGUCUAUCUUCUCUGCAAGCCAAAUAUUUUUCACUGCUCUGUUCUGCUCUGAGGUUAGUCUUAGAGGCCAGUUCCUCUGGGUAGGGGCAUCAAAGCAUGGCUGCAUGCAAAAGCGCUGAGGAACUCCAUCCUCUUCUUCCUCCCACUUCUCCCAGCUCUCCAUCACCAUCACAAUCACUUCUUCU